rnacentral:lncRNA from 1 species
UCAGACAUGACAAAAGCUAUUCUGUGAAUGACAACAUAUGACAAGUGAGGAUAUAUGUUCUAUUUUAAAUGACUUUUUUUCUAUAGGGCUUUGUAAAAAAGAAAAAUAAAAUAAAUGUUUAUCCUGUUUCUAACAUCUGACUGGAACUUCCAGAUCCAUAGGAUUCUUUCCUGAUGAAACAGUGAAGUUCACAGAACUGGACAGCCACUACCCCUACACCAUGUGAACAACUGAAAUAUUUAAAUGAACUAUCAUGUAUUUGCCACCGCUAGAAGAGUCUGACCAAUCUGGAAUCUCUCCUGCAGAGGCUGUACAGCUGCCCAGAGCUGCUCCAUGGAUACACAGGAAACAUCUGACACCCCAGAGCCCACCAGGCUCACUGUCCAGCUGCAGGCUGACCUCCCAAAACGUGGGCAUGUAGUUCCAGACACAUCCAACUCAUCAUGCAGCUGAGCUGCACUGAAGCUUGUUACUUUAAACUGCUGUACACCAGGCAGUCCCACCAACACAAGCAGCCUGGAAAAGCUGCAGUCUGUUCUGCACAAGACAAAGGUUCCUUUGCAUCCUACUCUCACCACAUAGUUUCUGUUUUAGUUUCCUUCCUAAGUAUAAGGAAAGGAAAAGAAAGGGAAGGGAGAGAGGGAGUAGAACAAGAAGAAUUGCAGAAAUAUAUCGUGAAAAGUCCCAAAGGAUUACUUCAAUCAAAAAUAAUUUCUUCAAUCAUUUUUAAUCAAGUAACAAGAACUCACAUUGUGAUAAUUCUCUGCAUUUUUUAAUAGCCGUCCAUCCGGAACUGAUGUUAGUCUCCAGAUCAGUUCUCAUUUAGGAAAGAACUUUGUAACCUCUUAUUUCUCCUUGUCAAACAGUGUGAAAUAUGUUAAUUCCUGUAGAUUAGUUUUCCAAUAAAUGUAAACCAGUGAUGUCA